rnacentral:rRNA from 1 species
UACAGAGGGCGCGAGCGUUGUCCGGAAUCACUGGGCGUAAAGGGCGCGUAGGUGGCGGCAUAAGGCUGUGGUGAAAGUCCGGGGCUCAACUCCGGAUCGGCCGCGGCAACUGUGUCGCUAGGGCACCGUAGAGGCAGAUGGAAUUCCGGGUGUAGCGGUGGAAUGCGUAGAGAUCCGGAAGAACACCAGUGGCGAAGGCGGUCUGCUGGGCGGUGAGCUCGUAAGGGCUCAAUAGCCGACACUGAGGCGCGACAGCGUGGGGAGCAAACAGG